AGAGUUUGAUCCUGGCUCAGGAUGAACGCUGGCGGCGUGCCUAAUACAUGCAAGUCGAACGAACUUCCGUUAAUUGAUCAGGACGUGCUUGCACUGAAUGAGAUUUUAACACGAAGUGAGUGGCGGACGGGUGAGUAACACGUGGGUAACCUGCCCAGAAGCAGGGGAUAACACCUGGAAACAGAUGCUAAUACCGUAUAACAGAGAAAACCGCCUGGUUUUCUUUUAAAAGAUGGCUCUGCUAUCACUUCUGGAUGGACCCGCGGCGCAUUAGCUAGUUGGUGAGGUAACGGCUCACCAAGGCGAUGAUGCGUAGCCGACCUGAGAGGGUAAUCGGCCACAUUGGGACUGAGACACGGCCCAGACUCCUACGGGAGGCAGCAGUAGGGAAUCUUCCACAAUGGACGCAAGUCUGAUGGAGCAACGCCGCGUGAGUGAAAAAGGGUUUCGGCUCGUAAAGCUCUGUUGUUAAAGAAGAACGUGGGUGAGAGUAACUGUUCACCCAGUGACGGUAUUUAACCAGAAAGCCA
rnacentral:rRNA from 1 species